rnacentral:tRNA from 1 species
UGGCUCAACGGUAGAGCGUUCGACUUAAAUGCCAAAAAUCGCGGGUUUGAAUCCCAU